UGGGGAAUUUUGGACAAUGGGCGAAAGCCUGAUCCAGCAAUGCCGCGUGUGUGAAGAAGGCCUUCGGGUUGUAAAGCACUUUUGUCCGGAAAGAAAUCCUUGGCUCUAAUACAGUCGGGGGAUGACGGUACCGGAAGAAUAAGCACCGGCUAACUACGUGCCAGCAGCCGCGGUAAUACGUAGGGUGCAAGCGUUAAUCGGAAUUACUGGGCGUAAAGCGUGCGCAGGCGGUUUGCUAAGACCGAUGUGAAAUCCCCGGGCUCAACCUGGGAACUGCAUUGGUGACUGGCAGGCUAGAGUAUGGCAGAGGGGGGUAGAGUUCCACGUGUAGCAGUGAAAUGCGUAGAGAUGUGGAGGAAUACCGAUGGCGAAGGCAGCCCCCUGGGCCAAUACUGACGCUCAUGCACGAAAGCGUGGGGAGCAAACAGGAUUAGAUACCCUGGUAGUCCACGCCCUAAACGAUGUCAACUAGUUGUUGGGGACUCAUUUCCUUAGUAACGUAGCUAACGCGUGAAGUUGACCGCCUGGGGAGUACGGUCGCAAGAUUAAAACUCAAAGGAAUUGACGGGGUCAUAGCUG
rnacentral:rRNA from 1 species